UACGUAGGGGUGCGAGCGUUGUCCGGAUUAUUGGCGUAAAGAGCUUGUAGGCGGCUCGUCGCGUCCGGGUGUGAAACUUGCGGCUUAACCGCAAGCCUGCACCCGAUACGGGCGGGGCUAGGAGUUCGGCAGGGGAGACUGGAAUUCCUGGUGUAGCGGUGGAAUGCGCAGAUAUCAGGAGGAACGACCGGUGGCGAAGGCGGGUCUCUGGGCCGAUACUGACGCUGAGAAGCGAAAGCGUGGGGAGCGAACAGG
rnacentral:rRNA from 1 species